UGGACCAUUGAUGAUUGUAUACCAUGAAUUAAGGAUUAUAAUUAAUCCAAUUCUAUGUACCCAAGUUCAAA
rnacentral:snoRNA from 10 species